GAUGAACGCUGGCGGCGUGCCUAAUACAUGCAAGUCGAGCGAACAGACGAGGAGCUUGCUCCUCUGACGUUAGCGGCGGACGGGUGAGUAACACGUGUAUAACCUACCUAUAAGACUGGGAUAACUUCGGGAAACCGGAGCUAAUACCGGAUAAUAUAUUGAACCGCAUGGUUCAAUAGUGAAAGACGGUUUUGCUGUCACUUAUAGAUGGAUCCGCGCCGCAUUAGCUAGUUGGUAAGGUAACGGCCUACCAAGGCGACGAUGCGUAGCCGACCUGAGAGGGUGAUCGGCCACACUAGAACGGAGACACGGUCCAGACGCCUACGGGAGGCAGCAGUAGCGAAUCUUCCGCAAUGGGCGAAAGCCUGACGGAGCAACGCCGCGUGAGUGAUGAAGGUCUUCGGAUCGUAAAACUCUGUUAUUAGGGAAGAACAAAUGUGUAAGGAACUAUGCACGUCUUGACGGUACCUAAUCAGAAAGCCACGGCUAACUACGUG
rnacentral:rRNA from 1 species